rnacentral:sRNA from 1 species
GCACCAGUCUGCUGAGUGGCGGUCGUGAAUCUGUACUUGUAGAGUGGCGCGAUGCAACAGAGAAGAAUAAGGAGUUUCUCCCGCGUUUAGGAGCUACUAUUGAACAUAUCUCAGUCUCGCCUGCAGGAGAUUUAUUCUGCACUUCUCACUCUGAUAAUAAGAUAAUAAUUAUUCACCGAAACCUUGAAGCAUCCGCAGUAAUUCAAGGCCUAGUGAAAGGUAUUGCAGAACUCAGUGGAUUUGGAAUCAUGAACAUUUUAAAGAGUGCAUAUUUCUCUUAUUUCACCUGUUAUUUGUCACUACUUCUGCAGAUAGGAGUAUCUUCACUGGUUUGAUGAUUGAUCCAAGAACUAAAGCUUUGGUUUUGAAUGGAAAACCUGGCCACCUGCAGUUUUAUUCUCUCCAGAGUGAUAAACAGUUAUACAAUGUAAGAUUUUGAUUCAUUAGCCUUGAAAUUAAUGAAAGCUCUUUACAGUACCACUGGAGUCAAGCAAUUUGUUUAGUAGCUUUUAAAACAAGAUCCUGUGCAUAUGUUUACUUGAACAUAGUAUUAUCCGUGGUUACUUAGUUCAGUUGUUCAGAGCAUAAUUCCAUUGAGGCCACAGUUGCAGAUUACAUGUAAUCCAGUUGGCACUCCUGUACGUGCUGUCUCUGUCUUUUGUUUCAGAAUGCCCUCCU